rnacentral:rRNA from 1 species
UACAGAGGUCCCAAGCGUUGUUCGGAUUCACUGGGCGUAAAGGGUGCGUAGGUGGUGAGGUAAGUCGGAUGUGAAAUCUCCGAGCUCAACUCGGAAAAUGCAUUGGAAACUACCUUGCUAGAGGAUCGGAGGGGGGACUGGAAUACUUGGUGGUAGCAGUGAAAUGCGUAGAUAAUCAAGUGGAACACCAGUGGCGAAGGCGAGUCCCUGGACGAUACCUGACACUGAGGCACGAAAGCUAGGGGAGCAAACGAUAGAACCCGUGUAGUCAAGAACCGAAUGUCAUCCGU